rnacentral:tRNA from 1 species
UGGCCUAUGGUGUAACGGUAGCACAACAGAUUUUGGUUCUGUUUGUCUAGGUUCGAAUCCUGGUAGGCCAA